rnacentral:rRNA from 1 species
GCUAAGUUUGAUGGCGACCGGCGCACGGGUGAGUAACACGUAUCCAACCUGCCGAUGACUCGGGGAUAGCCUUUCGAAAGAAAGAUUAAUACCCGAUGGCAUAGUUCUUCCGCAUGGUAGAACUAUUAAAGAAUUUCGGUCAUCGAUGGGGAUGCGUUCCAUUAGGUUGUUGGCGGGGUAACGGCCCACCAAGCCUUCGAUGGGUAGGGGUUCUGAGAGGAAGGUCCCCCACAUUGGAACUGAGACACGGUCCAAACUCCUACGGGAGGCAGCAUG